UCGCGUCCAUGUGCUUUGUAUUUUGAUAAAAAGAGAAAGAACCUGCUUUUUGCAAAGAUAAGUGGACAAGCCAUUGUUUAUAACGAUUCAUAGAAGGGAGGAAAUGUAUCUCGCUGUCUAAUAUCCGACUUUAAGGCAUUUGCGACCAUUCAAUGUUUAGACAAAAAUCAGUUCAAUUUAUUGGACAACUAUCUGUCGGACUUUCAUAUCUACACUGGAUCAUAAGUUGUGAUCUCUUGUCAUAACUUUCUGAAUAUGUAGUUAUAUUGGUUUGAAUGUCAGUUUCUGCUUAUCCGGUGAUAUAAUUCGUUUCAAAGUGCCACUUACAACUUAAAUUAAUUCAUUUUGAAUAAAAG
rnacentral:lncRNA from 1 species